rnacentral:sRNA from 1 species
AGGGCGACCGGGUCCACGCCGCGGGUGACGACGAGGUAGUCGCGCAGCACGAUGGAAUGGCGGGCCUC